UUAGAGAGAGAGAAAGAGAGAUUGCACGAUUUUGGUAAUUGACACUUGGCACGAUAACGCAAUAUUGAUAAACAACUGUUGGCUGACACAAACUGCUACCUAGUGUCUUGUCUAAUUUUUUGAGAAAGCUAAACAUACGCACAAUAAUACAGAUUUUUAUUAUGCAUAUUAUAGUUCAAAUAUUAUGGAUCAUUCUCAUAGUUUUAAUCUCAGAUGCUGCGAUGAGGCCUAUAGUACCAUUAUCAAUGAGUAAUACAAAUAUAGAAUACAGUGUAGAAGAAAAAAUUCAGAAUGUUAAAUUAGAAAAUAAUAUAAGAGAUAUCACGAUGUUUUAUUAUAUAUU